rnacentral:rRNA from 1 species
UACAGAGGGGGCAAGCGUUGUUCGGAAUUACUGGGCGUAAAGGGCGCGUAGGCGGCCUGUUAAGUCGAACGUGAAAUCCCCGGGCUCAACCCGGGAACUGCGUCCGAUACUGGCAGGCUUGAAUCCGGGAGAGGGAUGUGGAAUGCCCGGUGGAGCGGUGAAAUGCGUAGAGAUCGGGCGGAACACCAGCGGCGAAGGCGGCAUCCUGGCCCGUACCUGACGCUGAGGCGCGAGAGCGUGGGGAGCAAACCGG